rnacentral:lncRNA from 1 species
CUCUGUCAGUACACACGCACAGGUUUAUUGAAAAAUUUUUUAAAAACCACAACUAAGAUAUUAGUAAAAUUUUGUAUAGAUAAAAUCAGUCAAUAUUUUCUCUUCUGUCCUAGCACCUAUACUAAAACACAAUUCCCCUUUUAUGACCUUUGAUUAACUGUUUUACAAUCUCUUUGAAUGUACUCUGAGUAAAAGAAGUCAGGUUACUAUGUAGAAGUAAUUAACUAGUGACUGAUGGGAGACUGGCAGAGUUCUCAGAUAAGGACUGAAUAGGAGUUCACCUAUAUAAUGAAUGAUGUGAAAUAGUUUACCCAAUGUUUAAUAUUAUUCCACAGGCAAGAUUAUAAUAUUCCCCAUGAAAGAUUUUAUGUAAAAUCACUCUACAUCUGUCUUAUUAGUUAUAGAAUGUAAAUGUUUUAGCUGGAUGCAAAAAUCGACUUCUAAAAGAUAAAUGGUAAAAAUAAACCUUACAGUGCUGACAAAAUUGUCCAUCAAUCCUUACCACAGUGAGAACUUUGCCAAACAAACUUAUGCCGCAAGCCUGAAAUAUAUGCUGAGCUGCUUUUGUUUGCAUUUUUAAAUUUAAUUGACUAUAACGCUGCAAUUUAUGUCUUCCUUAGACUACACACAGAGUAAAAGAGAGCUCACAAAAAAGACAUUAUUGUCAAGGACAAGUACGAAUGUGAUAAAUGAAGGCAAGUGGUUACAACAGCUUAGGCACCAAGAAAGAACUUUUGUAGUUAAUUCAAAUAAAAAUAAGGCCAUGAAGGAAUUGUGUUUGCAUUAAAUAGCAGUCAAUAUUUUAUACUGAAAACUGCAUUUCUGAAAUUCAAAAAAAAAGUGAGAUGAAUUAUAAAGCCAAUUCAGAAUCACAUUAUAGUUAGGAAUGGGGCUAAAAUACCUGAGAGAAGGCAGGGUAGAAAUAAUCCAGAACGACAUUACCUACAUGAGAAAUGUUCUAGAAAAUGUGCUUGUUUUUAAUAUGAAAAUUGCACACAAUGGUACAUAGCCCCAGUAAAAUAAUAAAAUCUAUUGAAAACAAUAUUGCCUAGAGUGGAAUUCUUAUGAUACAUCACUUUUAUCAAACUAUGAACAGUAAAACCAGACUAGUUGCUCACAUAUCCUAUAGUACAGUCUGUACAGUGAAAUGCUAGCUGCUGCACAAAGUAUGAGAAACGCAUCAUCAUACACAUUGGUACCUGAACUACUGAGAGUAAAAGGGAACCAGAAAAGUGGACUUAUAAGGAGCAUUAAUCAUAACAAAAUAGAAAAGGGCCUACCCAAAAAUUAAAGUUGCCCCAUCAACUAAGCACAUGAGAAAAUAUAAUGAUUGCUUUUGAGUCAACAUAUUAUUCCCUAAAAAUUUAGAAAUACCAUUAAAUAUUUUACACAAAUAACAAAAUUUACAUACCCAUAUGUGAUAUGUUUAAAUAUUCAAAAUUAAUGUGUCAAAUAAUAAAAUGAUUAAGUUUCAAUUUAUAUCUAACCAUUUCCCCUCCAUUCUCUUUGAUUUAAUAGCUCAAUACCUCAAAUGAUUUAGCAAACACAGAGUAUUCUCUCAUAGAGCAUAAAUCACCUUAUUCUUUAAUUGAUGUUUUUAAUUGUUAUUUUGACAGAAUCCCUUUUAGAGAUUCUAAAAUCUUUCCUGUAUUUCCUUUGGUCAUUUUCUGCUUCUCAAUUUCUAACAUAUUUCUUCUUGUGUUCACAGAGAUAGGUAAGAAGUAUUGUUCUAUUUCCAUGCCAUAUUACCUAUUCCAUACAUACAUAAGGAUGUAUUCUUGGGAAAGGAAUUCUGGCUUGGAUAAAAACAUCUUAUAUACUUUAUUAAGAAACAUACAAGAAUAUUUUUGUCCAACUCAGCAAUACCCGUUUGACACUAUCCAUUAACCUGGAUUAUUUAACUAAAGGUAAGAAAUAGCACCAUAACGAUACUGUUAUAGUCUCAAAGGCUUGGUAGACACACAUCUAAAAAUGAGAGUAAAGCCGGGCAUGGUGGUCCAGGUUUUUAAUCCCAGCACUCAGGAGGCAGAGGCAGGCUGAUUUCUGAUUUUGAGGCCAGCCUUUUCUAAAAAGUGAGUUCUAGGACAGCCAGGGCUAUAUAGAGAAACCCUGUCUCAAAAAACCAAAAAAAAAAAAAAAAAAAAAAAAGUAAAUGCUACAAACCAAUGGAGUAAACAGGUAAACACAGGUAAACUGCCUGAGAUUAAAAUUUGAAUUAUCAAACAAACACAUAAAAAACAUGAGAUAGAUGAAAUAUCUAUGUAGCAUGGAAGUAUUCUCUACUUCUAAAUGUGAUGUUGUUAACAUUGUAAUCCGCUGCAUGUAAUACACAUAACCUCUUCACUCAAAUUUUACAACAUUCACACAGAACUUAGAGCAUUUUGUGACAUCAUCUAAUACCAAUGGUACAAUCAGUACUUCCAAAAUGCCAAGAAUAAGAAGGACAGACAGGCUUAGAAUAAAUCAUUCUGCCUUGAAAUCAUAAUAAUGAAAUCUCUUCAAUCAUUGUGGCAUAAAAGCAAUUAAAAAAUAUGAGAUUAUGGUUAACAAUCAAAGAAGAAACUAAAGUGAACUCAGUUCAAGUUUUGAUUACCUUUCCCUCUGAGUGAGCAUAAUAAUUUAAAAGAAAAAUAAAACUGAUGAAAAGAUUUUAGAAAUUCUAAGAGUGAAUUGGCCAAAAUCAAUGUAAAAGUUUAGUAAAUUUUAAUGAUUAUACCAUCGAAGAUAUAAAAAUUCUUAACUCAAAAACUAAAUAAUUGAACUUACUGUAUGACAUUGUCCAAAUAGUAAUAUGGGAUAGUUGAAUGUGACAUUUUCUUCAAAGAGUAGAAUGUGUGAAGUGGGAAAAAUGCUCCAAUUACAACAUCUCCUUCAUGGUGAAAUUCUUCUGAGAUUUUGUAAUAACAUACACUGAUAUUAUAGGAAAAAGCAGAGACAAAUUUGGGAAUUUGCAGGAGUCUGAAGAUAAAAAUCCAAGAGAACAUCCUAUUAGAUCAUGGGUCUGCUUGAUGCAGAACAAAUAGUGUCCAGUACAUAUAUGCUUGGUUCAUGUUUUUGUAAGUAUGCAUGUUUUGUGUUUAUUGAUGACUCAGUUUGUCACUCAGAUUAUUCUAAGGGAUUUAGGACAACUUUGGGAAUUUUGAAAUUAUUUUUUUCACAUGAACUCUGCUACUGAGGCCUUCUAUUCAAGUGCAAAACAAGUUUGGAAUUAUGUUCGUUCACAUUUUUCAAUAGCCAAAGGCACUAUGACUUCAGCAAAGACUACAGACAACAAUAUCUCUGGGUUGAUCUUCUCUUGGGAUGAGUUGGCUAACCAUAUGAAUUUAGAAUCCUUUAGUAUGAAAAACAAUUCAGGCUCUUCCCCACAGGUUACAUCAUAGGAGGCCAAAUAACUGAAAAGUGAACAGGCUGAAAAAAAAAGAAUUGCAGGUAUAACCACUCAAACAUAAUAUAUUGCAGAGCUUUGGUGGCAACUAAAAAUUGUGAAUUAUAGGAAACAAUUUCCAAGACAUUUGAUAGAAUAAGCAUUGAUGUAUGUUAUACCAACAUUUUCUGCUUUUAAUCCAAAAAAACGAAUUUAUCUCUAAUAACUUUAAAUGGCACAAAACAAUUAAACUUAUGAGAAUUGUCAAGGCAAGAAUUACUACUACAGUAUCUAGUUCAUUUGUAUUUAUAGCUUUCAGUAAAUUACUUCUAUUCUAUCUUAUUUAGUCCAAGUUCUGUAAAGGGAUUAUGUAAAAUGAGUAAAAUUAAAACUGCAUUUCAAAUUGAGAAUUAGAAGACAAUCUAAGGAAACGUUAGUUUUUAUGUCUGUGAGCAUGAUAUUAUCAGAACUUCACUGAUUAAUGUUAACUCUGGAUUUAGGAAUCUCUAUCAUUAAUCUAUUUUUCAAACUCGUGAAAUACCUGUGAGGGAAAAAUUUCACCUGAGUAACAAGGAUGUUUAGAGCAAGUAUCUUCUUUUUUAAAUAAAGACAGAGAAAUAAUGACUCCUGGGACAGUCACCCAAAGUUUAUCUGUGUCAGUGCAGACAUCCAUUUUGGCAGCCAUGCCCAGAAAUUCUGUGAACCAGAAAGUUUUAGGAAUCGCCUGCCUUUUCCAGGAAAUUUUGGGUAAUUGCCUAUUCAGUAUGUUGCUUGUUUACAGUUUGAACUGUAUAUUUUCAUCAGUCAAGAUAAAGAGCACUUUACAUCCUAGUGGCCAUUUUUUACUCAUUUGUAGCAAACUCAAAGAGAAAAUUGACUUUUGCCCAUAAUUUUCUUUAAAUCAGAUACAGAGUGCUGCCUUACUUGAUUUGUAUAUCACAUAAAACUCUUUUAUUAAAAUACCUUACAUGCCACAUUCUCAAGGUCAUUGAGUGUGUGAGAACUACCUAUCUGUAUAAAGACUAUCAAAAUAGAAAAGAAUCUUUGCUUUUUGCCUGUUAGUUAUUCUAAGCUUAAGCUGCAAUACAUGUACAGAAGAUUAUGUUAGGCUUAUCGACAUAUUUAAGUGCAUCAAUUCAGAGCAUGGCCACAGUGUUUGUUCUUCAUGCACUAAAUGAUUUUAUCAUUUGUAAGAUGACUGACUUCCAACAAGAAUUUCUUAAUUAUUAUUAACAAUAUAUAUCAGUAGCUUUUUAAGUGUAGAAGCUUAAACUAAGGAUUUUAAAUUCAAGCUCUCUUAUUAUCAAUUUAAAAAUGUAAUCAUGGGCACAGGCUAUAAGGAGACAGGCCACUUAAAUGAGUAUGAAAAUAGGGACAAUAAUGCUGCGUGCCAUCCAGCAGCUCGCGAGGAACGGGGUAUGGCUGAAGUGGCAGACUCGAGCUGAAAGAAAAGCAACUAGAUGGACAAGAGAAAGAAUGGAGCUAAGACAACCCAGGUUCUCAUCAAAGCUCAGUUUUACUAUUCGGUGCACCAAGUUAUGAGGGAGGUGGAAGGGGCCCAUUCCUGCCAAAUCAUCCUGGAGUCCAGUUUCAGGUGACCAUGUGUUUGGCUCUGGAACAGCUAGGUGGCUGGCAGCAGCAGUGGGAGUGGCAGAACGAUAGGGCAGCAGGCUCCACCCCGAUGCUCUCUUCUUGCUAACAGUGAAACAUGAGCAAUCAGGUUUCAGACUGAGGGAGGGAGGUUACAUCUCCUUCCUGUUGUUAAUAUAAAAAAGCAAAGUCUGGCCUGAGGCAUAGAAUUUAUUUAUGCUCAAUAUUUUGCCUGAAUUCUUAGGGCCUAAUGAAGAAUCCUGUCUCAGUGGGAUUUCCUAACUUUUCUUAUGGUAAACCAUAUCUAGAUAAGACUGUCCUUUCUGUCCUAGUAAACAUCUAGCAGACUAGCCCUGAGCUGUUGGCUCCAUCUUUUAUAAUGCUAAUUAGUACUGAAUAGGUAACUUCCGUGUUGAAAUUUUUAUUGAAUACCAAGUAGUCAGCUACACUGUCUUUCUAGGGCGUUGGAACACUGUCAAAGACUGACUGUAUGGUUUUGAAAGGCACUUUAUUAUGAUAACACUGAAGGAGAGUACGUGAAUUAUCCUCCACAGUCUUGAAUGACAGGUGGGGAACAGAGAGGAGGGCGUGACAACCGGCUCCAUAGUACAAGGCCAUUUGGCUUGUUAGGGUGGGAGGCUGGGAAGGGCUUGCCCUUCUCACAGUACUGUCACCAACCUCUCUCCCCCUAUGAACUAAGCUUAAUAAGGCCACACUUAACUGAGGUUAUCAAAUGAUCUUCUCAUCCAUGGAUGAGCAGGUAUUAACCAUGGCUGGGGGGACAUCGACCUGAUUUCUUCCGUGGGUGCUGUCACGACCCACAAUCAUGGCUCUUGGUAUCUUUUGGGGAGGGGAGGCAGAGCCUUAGAAAGAUAUUCUUGGUUGUAACUGAAACUAGAUAUCAACCUCUAUCCAAACCGGGUAUAGCUCUCAGGGAACCCAGAAAUGGUCAAGUUAGACGUUCCCCUGCAGUGAAAUUUCCUGCACCCACGCUGGUGUCCAUACUGUAUUCAUAUUAUUACAAAUCAGCAUGCACAGUUCUGAGUACUGUGCAGCUCCCAAGGGAGAACUGUCAACCUCAGAUUCAGCAAGGCCUCAACAAGAAUUAUGUCACUAGUAACACCACAAUUUGUGGCUCUUAGGCUAUAUUAGGAGCUGGAGGUCACCCUCCUCAUCUCUGUUAUUUCCACAGACUGAGGAACUAAGAGGACCUUGCAAUAACAGCAAGGGUGGAAAACCAGAGACCAGCUAAGGGACUAAGCCCAUCUAUCAGAAUAAAAACCAAUUUCUUUUAAUAAUUGAAAUUUCCACCUUUCUAGCCCUAGUAGCAAACCUUUAUCACAAAUCAGACCUAAAGACACAAUAAGUGCUGGAAUGUCUUUAGAAUAAAAAGUAGUAGCUGCUUCUUGCACGCUUUAGGGGGCGGGGAUGCACGCCUGCCACAGUCCGGCUGAAGGGUGUUGAUUGACCUGCUUGAAAAAUGAGAUUCAGACAAUGAGAAUGUAACAAUGCAAAGCUUCUUUUGGGGAAGUCCGGGUACUUUAUUCAGUUGUAAAUUAGCAAAGCUCAAGCUCAGUCUCUGGCCUCCUACUGGGGGAGCUGGCUCUGAGAGUUGCAAGAAAACAGCUUUUUUGGGAGCCUGUGUUCCCAACUGAUUUCUAGGCAAAAGAGGAAUUGUAGCCCUCAGAGUGAUACUUACAAGAAGAUUCAGGAUCUGUGUUCAGCUGAUGAAUUAAUCUCUUGGGCAGCCAUCUCGCUCCAUCUUCCUCUCGGGAAAAAAAAACCACAGACUGAGCCCCUUCCCCAGAUUAGAACCAGAUGGGGACUUUUCCAUUCGUUAGUUAGUGUGUCCUUCCAUUUUACCAAUGCAUAAGAAUUAGAAGUAACUGGAUGCCAGUGGUGAUCCGCUGCAGAUUGACCUUUAAUAUCGGUUUGCAAAAAAAAUUAGAACAAAUAAAGCAAAGGCAAGAUAUGCCUUUGGUGACCUUGGGGGAUAUAACUGCCCCUGUUUUGUCUUAAAAAGCCAAUUCUUUAAGGUGCAAUGAGCACAUUUAACUAUUUCUUGUCUCAUGGGGUUAUAAGGAAUUCUAGUUUUAUGUUUGAUACCGAAUUCUUUACAGAAUGAAAUAAAAAUUUUACUAGAAUAGGAUAGCUCAUUAUCUGUCUUAAUAAGUUUAGGCAAUCUCAUAGCAUUAAAGGCCUGUAGGCAAUGAACGAUUACGUUUUUAGAAGCCUCUCCUGUAUGCAGAGAAGCAAAAAGAAAUCCUGAACAAGUAUCGAUUCAAACAUGUAUAUAUUUUAAUUUUCCAAAUUUCACAUAAUGGGUUAUAUCCAUUUGCCAAAUAUGAUUAUGCAUAAGACCUCUAGGAUUGACUCCUAAAUGUGGCACUGGAGAUAAUGUAAUACAAUUAGGACAUUGUCUUAAAAUCAUUUUCACUUGCUCCUUAGUGAUCUUAUGUCGGAGCCUUAAGGUAUGGCUAGAGAGAUGAAACCUUUCAUGAUCACGUUUGGUCAAAGCAACAGGAUCCGAAAUUACAGCUUCUCCUAUUAGAGCUCUGUCAAUGCAAUCAUUGCCUUCAGCUAAAGGUCCAGGAAGACCAGAGUGAGAUCAUAUGUAGCAAAUAUAAAACGAAUUUUUCUGGGCAAGAAUGAUGUUUUGUAAUUCUGAAAAUAAGGAUCCUGACGGCAUAUUAAAGUUAAAUGUACCACAGGUCUCCAAUAAGGGUACUGAUUGUGCAACAUAUAAACUGUCAGUAAAGAUAUUAAAAGCCUCAUGUACAGGCUGAAAGACCUUCAGUACUGCUGUUAAUUCGGCUAACUGAGCCGAAAGGCUAGGAGUCUCUAUGAUAACUUGUUGAUUAUUAAUAAGAUAUCUAGCUCGCCUUUUAGAGGAGCCAUCAGUAAAAAUCAAUAGAGCAUUAUAUAAAAGCUAUAAGGAAGUCAUUUUAGGAAAUAUCACUUCAUGUACAUUGAAAAAUUUUAUCAACCUAUCUUGGGGAUAGUGGCUGUCUAUAGUUUCUUUAAACCCUAUUUUUGCAAGCAACCAAUCUGUACUAUGUUGUUUCAGCCAAGUGUCUUGACUUACAUUGUAAGGCUGAACAAUAAUAUCUGGCUCUUUGCCGAAAUAAGUUAAUGUCUGCUUUCUUCCAGUGAUAAGCAUCUGGGACACUGCUUCAUGAUAUGGCAAGAUAUUAUGUUUAGGAGAAAUCCUCGAAUGUAUCCACAUUAUAGGGAAUUUCUGCCAUAGCAGUCCUGUACGCUCAUGAGUCAUAUCAAAAUUAACAGAUGCAAUGGUGAGGAGCAAUCUAUCUAAGUGACAAAUUGCUCUUCAAUAGCUUUUUCCACUAGCUGUAAGGCCAGAAAUUCUUCUGAGGUUAGGGAUCUAGGGGAUGUAGGAUCAAAACUCCCUUUAAGAAUAUCAAAUAAAUGUUUCAACUCCACUGUGGUAAGCUUUAAAUAGGGACGAAGCCAAUUAAUAACACCUAACAAUUUUUGAAAAUCAUUCAAGGUCCUUAAGUUAUCUCUAUGAAUAACAAUAUUCUGGUGAAAAACAGCUUAAUCAGUGAGUCUAAAACCUAAAUAUUUAUAAGGAUCUUGAGUUUGUAUUUUUUCAGAAGCUAUUUGUAAUCUCUUAUCAGCUAAGGCUUUUUGUAAGUCUGUAUAGCACAAAAGCAAAUCUUGGGGUUCUUUUCCCGCCAUCAAAAUAUCAUCUGUGAAAUGAAUGAUGUAAAUCAUUGGCCAUUGUUGUCUCACAGGCUGAAUGGCUU